GAUGAACGCUGGCGGCGUGCCUAAUACAUGCAAGUCGAGCGAACGGACGAGAAGCUUGCGUCUCUGAUGUUAGCGGCGGACGGGUGAGUAACACGUAGAUAACCUACCUAUAAGACUGGGAUAACUUCGGGAAACCGUAGCUAAUACCGGAUAAUAUUUUGAACCGCAUGGUGCAAAAGUGAAAGACGGUCUUGCUGUCACUUAUAGAUGGAUCCGCGCUGCAUUAGCUAGUUGGUAAGGUAACGGCUUACCAAGGCAACGAUGCAUAGCCGACCUGAGAGGGUGAUCCGCCCCACUGGAACUGAGACACGGUCCAGAGUCCUACGGGAGGCAGAAGCAGGGACUCUUGCGAAAUGGGCGAAAGCCUGAAGGAGCAAUGCCGCGUGAGUGCUGAAGGGCUUCGGAUCGUAAAACUCUGUUAUUAGGGAAGAACAUAUGUGUAAGUAACUGUGCACAUCUUGACGGUACCUAAUCAGAAAGCAACGGCUAACUACGUG
rnacentral:rRNA from 1 species